rnacentral:rRNA from 1 species
AACGAACGCUGGCGGCAUGCCUAACACAUGCAAGUCGAACGAGACCUUCGGGUCUAGUGGCGCACGGGUGCGUAACGCGUGGGAACCUGCCCUUAGGUUCGGAAUAACUCCCCGAAAGGGGUGCUAAUACCGGAUAAUGUCUUCGGACCAAAGAUUUAUCGCCUUUGGAUGGGCCCGCGUUGGAUUAGCUAGUUGGUAGGGUAAAAGCCUACCAAGGCGACGAUCCAUAGCGGUCUGAGAGGAUGAUCAGCCACACUGGGACUGAGACACGGCCCAGACUCCUACGGGAGGCAGCAGUGGGGAAUAUUGGACAAUGGGCGAAAGCCUGAUCCAGCAAUGCCGCGUGAGUGAUGAAGGCCUUAGGGUUGUAAAGCUCUUUUACCCGGGAUGAUAAUGACAGUACCGGGAGAAUAAGCUCCGGCUAACUCCGUG